UCUCCGUAGGUGAACCUGCGGAGGGAUCAUUACACAAAUAUGAAGGCGGGCUGGAACCUCUCGGGGUUACAGCCUUGCUGAAUUAUUCACCCUUGUCUUUUGCGUACUUCCUGUUUCCUUGGUGGGUUCGCCCACCACUAGGACAAACAUAAACCUUUUGUAAUUGCAAUCAGCGUCAGUAACAAAUUAAUAAUUACAACUUUCAACAACGGAUCUCUUGGUUCUG
rnacentral:misc_RNA from 1 species